rnacentral:misc_RNA from 1 species
CUUAGAACUAAUAAUAGAUCAAUUCGUAAUGCGCUUUUCAAAAUUGAGCGUGGCAUUUGCACAAACUGCCAACUAGACUGCCACAAACUUGUGGAGCGCAUCAGAGCAUUGUCAAUUGAGAGUCGCGAAGAGUAUAUCGGCAAAGUUGCCCCAAAUUUGGUAAAGCGUAAGAAAUUAUUUCAAAAGCUUGUUCAGGACCCUAUUGAUGGCAAUGCAUGGCAUGCGGAUCACAUUAUACCUGUAUAUAAAGGGGGAGGUGAAUGUAGGCUAGAGAACAUGAGGACAUUAUGUGUUGCUUGUCAUGCUGAUGUCACUGCUACUCAACAUACAGAACGGCGUUUGACUAGACUUGUGGCAAAGAAGAAACUCAAAGCUGUCAUGAGCAACCUUAAAACUGUUAAUAAACCCAAGCAAAAAGUGGAUGAACCAGAGGGUUCAUGUCAUUCUGAUGUUGAAGAGAACAAAGAUGAGGAUGAACUAAUAGUGAAUGUUCCAGGAAGUGCAUAUUCCUUUAGCACUGCAAGUCAAGAACGAGGAAAUUCAGAACUGGAAACUAGUGCCAGUGAUGUCUUGGAUGAGGCGCAGCAUAAUGACGUGCUGCUCAAAGGACAGAGCUUACCUCAGUCUUGAGGAGAACUGAAAAUAUUUUGGGAUGUUUAUUUUGUUGAAGAAAUAGGUAUAGUGAGUGAGUUUCUGGAUACUUACACCGGUCUAUUGUAUUUUGGGACUCAUUUGUGGCAAAUGUUCCGAGUGAUUUGCUUAUACAUCAUGCUGCUAUGUUUUAAUUUUUUUUAUUUAUAUAUU